rnacentral:rRNA from 1 species
GAUGAACGCUGGCGGGCGUGCCUCAAACAUGCAAGUCGGAGCGGGGCUAUGUAAUAUCGCAAGGUAGAACAUAGCCUAGCGGCGAACGGGUGGAGUAACACGUGGGUAACCUGCCUGGAAGACAGGGAUAACGAUUCGAAAGGGUCGCUAAUACCUGAUAAUAUCCUUUCAUCGCAUGGUGAUAGGAAGAAAGGGGAAACCCGCUUUCAGAUGGGCCCGCGUCCCAUCAGCUAGUUGGUAAGGUAAAGGCUUACCAAGGCGACGACGGGUAGCCGGUCUGAGAGGAUGUACGGCCACACUGGGACUGAGAUACGGCCCAGACUCCUACGGGAGGCAGCAGUUGGGAAUCUUAGGCAAUGGACGAAAGUCUGACCUAGCGACGCCGCGUGAGGGAAGAAGGCCUUCGGGUUGUAAACCUCUGUCAUGGGGGAAGAAGUAAGUGACGGUACCCCAAGAGGAAGCCCCUGCUAACUACGUG